GUUGUCACUUACAGCAGUUUCUCUGUCUAGGUGUUCUAGAUGUUACUAGUUUACAACUAGAGCUCUUUAAUACAGCACUAGAGAUGCAUGGUAGCCUGUCGUAAUUUCGAGACACACUGAAAGGGUUGUCGACAGCUCUGGGAAGUUGCAAGGAACUCCUGUCACACUGAUAAUGGCUUCUGAGACCAGGAGCAGCUUUACUUAAGUUAAACUUUUCCAGCCCUGAUUUUGAUAAGUAGUCUUCCGAACUACCUGAUCUGCUGUUGUGUGAGCAAUCAAAAUAGCUAUCUUACGCCCUGAAAGAGUGAUAAUAAUUUUAGAAGAGGAAAACAUUUUUGUCAGAAAGUAGCAGCCCAUUUCCACCUGCAUGGCAUGAUGCUGUGUACAAAGCACUACAUAGGUAUAGUGCAAGCUUUCCCAUACCUCUCUGCUCAUGUAUUCAUAACCAGAACCAGGAGGACCAUCUGUAAAGGAUGAGAAGAUGCAAAAAAGCUGACUUUCACGGCUGUGUAGAAGUGAUCCCUGGUGUAGAAGCAAUCCCAACAACCAUACUGUUCGUUUGACAGCUGGACCCAAAUCCGAGUUUUCAUAUUAAAUAAAAACAGCAACAACUCACCUACAAUUCCCUUGAUCACCUAUCAUGCACGGAUCAGUAUUCAAUUUAAAAGAUUGUUUUCUAUGUACACCUAUGGCACAGAUCAGUGUGCAUUAUCUGCGUAUGUAUAACCUUUCUUUAACUUGAACAAGAAGAUCCACACAAAUGAUAAAUAACUUUUGGCUUAGUCAAUUCA